rnacentral:lncRNA from 1 species
CGCUGGGAGGGGUCGCCUCGGCAGUGUCUGGGGAGUGAGGGCGGAGGGAAGAGUGAGCGCAGGGCUCCGGGACAGAGGUCUCGUGUAACUCCUGGCGCCGCCCAAGGGGUUAAGAUCCUGUGCCGGUAUCAGAAUAUCUGGAACAUCAACCUGCAGUUGCGGCCCAGCCUCAUAACAGGGAUCAUGAAAGACAGUGGAAACAAGCCUCCAGGUCUGCUUCCCCGCAAAGGACUAUACAUGGCAAAUGACUUAAAGCUCCUGAGACACCAUCUCCAGAUUCCCAUCCACUUCCCCAAGGAUUUCUUGUCUGUGAUGCUUGAAAAAGGAAGUUUGUCUGCCAUGCGUUUCCUCACCGCCGUGAACUUGGAGCAUCCAGAGAUGCUGGAGAAAGCGUCCCGGGAGCUGUGGAUGCGCGUCUGGUCAAGGGUGAAAUGAAGACAUCACCGAGCCGCAGAGCAUCCUGGCGGCUGCAGAGAAGGCUGGUAUGUCUGCAGAACAAGCCCAGGGACUUCUGGAAAAGAUCGCAACGCCAAAGGUGAAGAACCAGCUCAAGGAGACCACUGAGGCAGCCUGCAGAUACGGAGCCUUUGGGCUGCCCAUCACCGUGGCCCAUGUGGAUGGCCAAACCCACAUGUUAUUUGGCUCUGACCGGAUGGAGCUGCUGGCGCACCUGCUGGGAGAGAAGUGGAUGGGCCCUAUACCUCCAGCCGUGAAUGCCAGACUUUAAGAUUGCCCGGAGGAAGCAAACUCUUCGUAUAAAAAAAGCAGGCCAUCUGCUUAACCCUUGGCUCCACCAUAAGGCACUGGGACUCGGAUUUCUCUAUCUGAUAGAGGUAUUUUCUGUGGCCCUGGGAGCUGUCUGUCUUUCCCCUACCCCCAAGGAUGCCAGGAAGACGUCCACCAUUAGCCAUGUGGCAACCUUUACUUCUAUGCCUCACAAGUGCCUUUCAGAGAGCCCCAAUUCUGCUUUCCCACAAAAUAAACCUAAUGCCAUCAGGC